rnacentral:sRNA from 1 species
UUUAUAUGAUUUAAUUUUCCCUUUGAACCGAUAUUCUGAGAUCUUUAGUCAAGUAAGAGAAUUUUCCAUUGAGAGACAUCUUAAAUCAUAUGCUUUAAAUUUUCAUAUGUGAAGAAGGUUCAUUUAUUAUUUCGACUUCCAAAAAAUUUCGAAAAAAAAAUUCCCGCCAAAUUUUGUUUUCAAAAAUAUUUUUCCCGCCAAUUUUUUUUUUUUUUGGCGGGAAAUAGAUUUACAAGGGAUUUUAAAAGAAUUUUAAAAGAUUUACAAGAGAUUUUAAAAGCGUGAUUUACAAGGGAUUUUAAAAGGUUUUUAAAAGAUUUAUAAGGGAUUUUAAAAAGGUUUUAAAAGAUUUACAAGAGAUUUUAAAGGGAUUUAAAAGAUUUACAAAGGUCUUUUAAAGAUUUUUAAAGGGUUUAAAAUUGUUUUAAAAAGAUUUUAAAAUAUUUACAAGAAAUUUUAAAAGGGUUUUACAAUAUUUACAAGGGAUUUUAAAUGGCUUUAAAAGAUUUACAAAGGAUUUGUAAAGAUUUUAAAGGGUUUAAAAGUGUUCUGAAAGAUUUACAAGGGAUUUUAAAACCUUUUAAAAUUACUUGUAAAUUUUUUUAAACCCUUUUAAAAUCCCUUGUAAAUCUUUUAAAAUUCUUUUAAAAUCUCUUGUAAAUCUUUUAAAACUCUUUUAAAAUCCCUUGUAAAUCUAUUUGCCGCUAAAAAAUAUUUACAAGGAUUUUUAAAAUCAUUUUUUUGGCUGAGGAAAAAUUUGUUACGAAAAAAAUUUUGGCGGGAAUUUUUUUUUGGCGGGAAAAAAGUUUGGCUUAAACUUUUUUUUAGGCGGGAAAAAAAAAUUUUGGCGCCAAAAAAUUGGCGGGAAAAGUUCAGUUUCCAAUUACAUGUUUCUAUUAGAUGAGGGUAAUUUGGUCAUUUUGUUCAAGGGAAAGGGUAGUUUUUAAAAAUGGACAACAUAAAAGGGUAUUGUUGCAAAAGGGUAGUGAAAAAAGGGUAGUUUUGCAAAUCUUCCUUGUUAUUUUAGUACACUUAUCAUAUUUUAUAUGACUUUUGUUUUCCUCAAAACUGACAUUCUUAGAUCUUUAGUUAAGUUGGUAGAUUUUCCAUUGAAACUUAUCUUAAAUUAUAGGCUUUGAAUUUUUAAACGUGAAGAAGGUUCAUCUAUUUUUUGACUUUCAAGACAAUUGAUAAUACAUGCAUAUUCAUUUUCACAAAA